GACGAACCGAGCGAACGUUGUUCGGAAUCACUGGGCUUAAAGGGCGCGUAGGCGGGCUGCCAAGUUUGGGGUGAAAUCCUCCGGCUCAACCGGAGCAGUGCCUCGAAUACUGGCGGUCUCGAGGGAGGUAGGGGCGUGCGGAACUGUGGGUGGAGCGGUGAAAUGCGUAGAGAUCCGGAGGAACACCGACGGCGUAGGCAGCGCCCUAGACGAGACCUGACGCUCAGGCACGAAAGCGCGGGGAGCGAACAGG
rnacentral:rRNA from 1 species